rnacentral:rRNA from 1 species
GACGAACGCUGGCGGCGUGCUUAACACAUGCAAGUCGAACGGAAAGGCCCCUUUGGGGGUACUCGAGUGGCGAACGGGUGAGUAACACGUGAGUAACCUGCCCUUGACUUCGGGAUAACUUCAGGAAACUGGGGCUAAUACCGGAUAGGAAUCCUUGCUGCAUGGUGGGGGUUGGAAAGCUUCGGCGGUUUUGGAUGGACUCGCGGCUUAUCAGCUUGUUGGUGGGGUAGUGGCUUACCAAGGCUUUGACGGGUAGCCGGCCUGAGAGGGCGACCGGCCACAUUGGGACUGAGAUACGGCCCAGACUCCUACGGGAGGCAGCAGUGGGGAAGAUUGCACAAUGGGCGGAAGCCUGAUGCAGCAACGCCGCGUGCGGGAUGACGGCCUUCGGGUUGUAAACCGCUUUUAGCAGGGGCGAAGCUUGUGGUGACGGUACCUGCAGAAGAAGCACCGGCUAACUACGUG